UAGCGUAUAUUAAAGUUGUUGCAGUUAAAAAGCUCGUAGUUGAACCUUGGGCCUGGCUGGCCGGUCCGCCUCACCGCGUGCACUGGUUCGGCCGGGCCUUCCCUCUGGGGAACCUCAUGGUCUUCACUGAUCGUGUGGGGACCAGGACUUUUACUGUGAAAAAAUUAGAGUGUUCAAAGCAGGCUAUGCUCGAAUACAUUAGCAUGGAAUAAUAAAAUAGGACGUGUGGUUCUAUUUUGUUGGUUUCUAGGACCGCCGUAAUGAUUAAUAGGGACAGUCGGGGGCAUCAGUAUUCAAUUGUCAGAGGUGAAAUUCUUGGAUUUAUUGAAGACUAACUACUGCGAAAGCAUUUGCCAAGGAUGUUUUCAUUAAUCAGGAACGAAAGUUAGGGGAUCGAAGACGAUCAGAUACCGUCGUAGUCUUAACCAUAAACUAUGCCGACUAGGGAUCGGACGGUGUUCUUAUUGACCCGUUCGGC
rnacentral:rRNA from 1 species